UUUGGAAACUAUUAAACUAUUGAGCCAGAGUCUGAAGUUAGUAGAGGUGCUGGAGGAGAAGGUUGGAGGAGCAUGCUGGGGGAGCAGGCUGAGGGACAGCCGGUAGGAGUUGGAAGACAGUAGCCCAGAGUAGUGAGACAGUGACUGAACCAACAAAGAGUUGUUGAACAGCGGUCAGCCAAGAGCUUCCUGACGACGGGCUGAGGAACAUCAUCAGGCAGCAGGCUCCCAUCUUGUGUGUGUAAGAGGCUGGGUUGGGUUAAGUCCUGUGGAGUGCCGGGGAUCGCGGAAGCGUCGCCUGUAUGUACUGAGACUAUCCACCUUCCUGCCCUGCCAAUGACUCAACGCCAGUGUCGAAGUGACCAGCAUCAAGGUGAAUUUGAAACCCGGAGGUUGAAAAUGGAACAGUCAAAAUGGAAAUUGACCGUGACUCCUACAAUGAAGCUUUUCUUUCACUUUUCUUCACAUUGAUCAUUUUUUACUGGAAUUAGUCUUACUGCAGAACUGUAGACUUUCA